GAUCAUGGCUCAGAGUGAACGCUGGCGGCAGGCCUAAUACAUGCAAGUCGAACGGCAGCACAGCAGAGCUUGCUCUGUGGGUGGCGAGUGGCGGACGGGUGAGGAAUACAUGGGAAUCUGCCCAGUCGUGGGGGAUAACGUAGGGAAACUUACGCUAAUACCGCAUGCGCCCUUCGGGGGAAAGCCGGGGACCUUCGGGCCUGGCGCGAUUGGAUGAGCCCAUGUCGGAUUAGCUAGUUGGCGGGGUAAUGGCCCACCAAGGCGACGAUCCGUAGCUGGUCUGAGAGGAUGAUCAGCCACACUGGAACUGAGACACGGUCCAGACUCCUACGGGAGGCAGCAGUAGGGAAUAUUGGACAAUGGGCGCAAGCCUGAUCCAGCCAUGCCGCGUGAGUGAAGAAGGCCCUCGGGUUGUAAAGCUCUUUUGUCCGGAAAGAAAAGCGCCGGGUUAAUACCCUGGUGUCCUGACGGUACCGGAAGAAUAAGCACCGGCUAACUUCGUG
rnacentral:rRNA from 1 species